rnacentral:rRNA from 1 species
AGCGAACGCUGGCGGCAGGCCUAACACAUGCAAGUCGAACGGACCCUUCGGGGUUAGUGGCGGACGGGUGAGUAACACGUGGGAACGUGCCUUUAGGUUCGGAAUAGCUCCUGGAAACGGGUGGUAAUGCCGAAUGUGCCCUUCGGGGGAAAGAUUUAUCGCCUUUAGAGCGGCCCGCGUCUGAUUAGCUAGUUGGUGAGGUAAAGGCUCACCAAGGCGACGAUCAGUAGCUGGUCUGAGAGGAUGACCAGCCACAUUGGGACUGAGACACGGCCCAAACUCCUACGGGAGGCAGCAGUGGGGAAUCUUGCGCAAUGGGCGAAAGCCUAACGCAGCCAUGCCGCGUGAAUGAUGAAGGUCUUAGGAUUGUAAAAUUCUUUCACCGGGGACGAUAAUGACGGUACCCGGAGAAGAAGCCCCGGCUAACUUCGUGCCAGCAGCCGCGGUAACAC